CCUACGGGAGGCAGCAGUGAGGAAUAUUGGUCAAUGGGCGGAAGCCUGAACCAGCCAAGUAGCGUGCAGGAUGACGGCCCUACGGGUUGUAAACUGCUUUUAUACGGGAAUAACGCGCCUUACGUGUAGGGCUUUGCAUGUACCGUAUGAAUAAGGACCGGCUAAUUCCGUGCCAGCAGCCGCGGUAAUACGGAGGGUCCGGGCGUUAUCCGGAUUUAUUGGGGUUAAAGGGAGCGUAGGCGGCAUGGCAAGCGUGCUGUGAAAUGUCCGGGCUCAACCCGGGCCUUGCAGCGGGUACUGGCUUGCUUGAGUCCGCGUAAGGCAGGUGGAAUUCGUGGUGUAGCGGUGAAAUGCUUAGAUAUGACGAAGAACCCCGAUUGCGAAGGCAGCUUGCUGCAGCGGAACUGACGCUGAUGCUCGAAAGCGCGGGUAUCGAACAGGAUUAGAUACCCUUGUAGUC
rnacentral:rRNA from 1 species